rnacentral:lncRNA from 1 species
CAUAACCAUUUACAAAAUUCUAAGCAAUAGUUCACAUUUGAUUCCUAGAGAGUGACCACAAAACAGUAGUGGUACUUGAGCGACCAUUACUUGAAAAAUCCAAAAUUGCAAGUGGUAUUCACGUACUGUGUUGAGGGUACGUAUUAGCAUGCAUGUAUAUGAAUAUGCUGAAUAUUUUGAUGUAGGGCAAAAUGGUGCAUAAUAUAUGAGAAGGAGACAUCGAGAAAGGAUGGGAGACAGCCUUUUGUAGAUGUUGAUGUUGAUAUUGUGCAUAGUUAGACGCUAUUACACAGUUCAAAUAACAACAUGAACUGCCCAAGACGGUCUAUUAAUCCCCAAUAUAGUAUUAGAAUAUAGCUUGAGCAUAUAGCUAUCAUGCUAUAUACAGCAGUCCAUGCCAUAUCAUACUUUUCAAUGAGAGUGGUUGAGUACUCAAGCCUGAGUCUGCAAAUCGUGGAGCGAUGAAUCCACGACGACGCAAAGUCCUACCUACCAAGCGUAUGCAUCCAU